UUCCCCCAUCGUUCUACAUCUCUGCGGCAAUAUCCGCUUUCUGUCUGCAUGGCAGCGGCAAUAAGAGUUGGGAAAUGGGAAUUAUCAGAGGGUUACAGAAAUUUGGUGAAAUUCCCGCUGUCGGGAUGAGGACGGUUCAUC